UCCGUAGGCGGUGUAGCAAGUCGAUAGUGAAAUCUCUGGGCUUAACUCAGAGGCUGCUAACGAAACUGCUAUGCUAGGGUGUGAGAGAGGCGAGUGGAAUUACGGGCGUAGCGGUGAAAUGCGUAGAUAUCCGUAGGAACAUCCGAGGCGAAGGCGGCUCGCUGGAUCACAACUGACGCUGAGGGACGAAAGCUAGGGGAGCAAACAGGAUUAGAUACCCUGGUAGUCCUAGCCCUAAACCAUCAGGACUUGGGGUUUGCCCUGUACGGGGCAAGUCCCGUAGCUAACGCGUUAAGUCCUGCGCCUGGGGAGUACGGUCGCAAGGCUGAA
rnacentral:rRNA from 1 species